rnacentral:rRNA from 1 species
GACGAACGCUGGCGGCGUGCCUAACACAUGCAAGUGGAGCGACGAACCAGGGCUUGCCCUGGGGCCAAGCCGCGAACGGGUGAGUAACACGUGGGUAACCUGCCCCGACGACCGGGACAACCCGAGGAAACUCGGGCUAAUACCGGAUGUGCCCUGCCGGCCCAAGCCGGCGUGGGGAAAGGAAGCUUCGGCCUCCGCAUCGGGAGGGGCCCGCGGCCCAUUAGCUAGUUGGUGAGGUAAAGGCUCACCAAGGCAACGAUGGGUAGCUGGUCUGAGAGGACGAUCAGCCACACUGGGACUGAGACACGGCCCAGACUCCUACGGGAGGCAGCAGUGGGGAAUCUUGCGCAAUGCGCGAAAGCGUGACGCAGCAACGCCGCGUGGGGGAAGAAGGCCAACGGGUUGUAAACCCCUUUCAGGAGGGACGAAGGUGUGGCGGCGAAUAGCCAGCCGCACUGACGGUACCUCCAGAAGAAGCCCCGGCUAACUACGUGCCAGCAGCCGCGGUAAUACGUAGGGGGCUAGCGUUGUCCGGAAUCAUUGGGCGUAAAGCGCGCGUAGGCGGCCCGGUAAGUUCGCUGUAAAAGUCAAAGGCUCAACCUUUGAAAUGCCUCUGGAUACUGUCGGGCUAGAGUCCGGAAGAGGCGAGUGGAAUUCCUGGUGUAGCGGUGGAAUGCGCAGAUAUCAGGAGGAACACCGAUAGCGAARGCAGCUCGCUGGGACGGUACUGACGCUGAGGCGCGAAAGCGUGGGGAGCGAACAGGAUUAGAUACCCUGGUAGUCCACGCCGUAAACGAUGGGCACUAGGUGUGGGGAGGUGUCGACUCCUCCCGUGCCGUCGCUAACGCACUAAGUGCCCCGCCUGGGGAGUACGGCCGCAAGGCUAAAACUCAAAGGAAUUGACGGGGGCCC